ACCCAGGUGAUGAGUCCCAAGUAGAACGAAACGGCUGUCGUGGAU
rnacentral:hammerhead_ribozyme from 1 species